rnacentral:rRNA from 1 species
GACGAACGCUGGCGGCGUGCUUAACACAUGCAAGUCGAACGGAAAGGCCCUGCUUUUGUGGGGUGCCCGAGUGGCGAACGGGGGGGUAACACCUGAGUAACCUGCCCUUGACUUUGGGAUUACUUCAGGAAACUGGGGCUAAUUCCGGGUAAGAGCUCCUGCUGCAUGGUGGGGGGUGGAAAGUUUCGGCGGUUGGGGAUGGACUCGCGGCUUAUCAGCUUGUUGGUGGGGUAGUGGCUUACCAAGGCUUUGACGGGUAGCCGGCCUGAGAGGGUGACCGGCCACAUUGGGACUGAGAUACGGCCCAGACUCCUACGGGAGGCAGCAGUGGGGAAUAUUGCACAAUGGGCGGAAGCCUGAUGCAGCAACGCCGCGUGCGGGAUGACGGCCUUCGGGUUGUAAACCGCUUUCGCCUGUGACGAAGCGUGAGUGACGGUAAUGGGUAAAGAAGCACCGGCUAACUACGUG